GGGGGCGGGACAGCUCCUCCGGGGCCAGCGGGCACCAGGCUUGGGGGCUGAGGCCCAGCGGCCCGAGACCAACUGGGCUGACCGAGGCCGCCUCCCCGCCAGCCCUGGGGUCCACUGCCCGGGGAGCAGCUCCCUUCCCAGGUCAGACUCGGGCUUCAUCCUCUCUUGCCGCGCGCCGAGCGGUUUUCAACUCUCACUGCUAGAAUUCCUCCAACCACCCAGGAUAGCAGGACCGAGAUACAUGGCCACCCAUGACCCGGAGCGUCCACUUCCAGGGACAGGCAGUGGUGAUUGGCUUCGGUUGUCAUCUGUGCCAUCUGUCCAUGGUUCGAGAAGCUGCUGUUCACGUUUUGGGGAGGAUCAUGGUUUGAGGGCUCCCGUGGUAGAAUUUGGGGAGCUCUCAUAGGCAGAAGGCUGAGAAAAGUUGGUGCUGUGGGAAGUCAACUGGCAGCCGAUGGAGUCGGGACCCGGGAGGAAUGGAAAGGGAACCCAGAUAGGAAGCUACUGCAGUAGGCUCAGAGAGGUGAUGACGGCAGGGCUAAGACAGCGGCCUUGGGCGGUGACUGGGAAGAACGUUGAACACCGUGUUUGGGCUGAAGAAAAGAGCAAGGGAAGAGUUACAGGGCUUUGACUCCUGAGUCUGAAAAAGGCACAGAUUCCUGCUAAAUCUUGAACACUGACGCCAGUCAAAGCCUCAUCUUCAGACCUGGGAGAAGGUGACAAUCGAAAUGAAAUGCUUUCAUGAGACGCAGGGCCAGUAAUUACAAGUAUUCAAUCCCCCUAGGCCCAGGGACUAUCGCGGAAGAGGUGGGCGUGUGAGAUUGUAAGGGCCAACUUUGAGGGAUAAAAUUAGAGUUUUUUUGUAAACAUUAAUAUCAAAGGCACACUGAGGCCAGGCAAGCGUCUGGCCCCUGUGUCGGAAUAACAAUUUUCCUGGACCACUGAUCUACUCUUUAAUAGAAGAUUGUAAAAGGUUAUACAAGGCGUAUGGAAAUCUUACUUCGUGGUCAAACUGAUUAAAAUUAGAUUUGUUUAUAAGGUUUUAUUAGCUUUAACAUUAAUAAUACCCCUAAAACAUUAAUAAGAGAUCAAAGAUUUUUGUUUACCUUUUAAGUAAACUACAGGAAAAAAAAAGGAGAGAGACAGACAUUUAGUUGGUUUCCUGCUGUCUUCAUUGGAUCUUACAGUUGGGGAAACUGAGUCUCCUUCAUAUCAAUGAGUAAAGGUCUUUGGUGUUUUGGUUUUUUGUUUUUUUGGAAAUCUUUGAAUUAUCGUUUUGGCUAAAUGAAUAACUAUUUUAUAAUGAACCGUGAUCCUAUUUUGUGGCAUCAAAUGUUUUAAACUUUUGAUAUUCGACUGAUGAACUUCCCAACAUCAAGAUUUCAACUUCUGGCCGGCUACAGUGGCUCAUGUCUAUAAUCCCAGCACUUUGGGAGGCUGAGACCAGGCAGGCAGAUCAUUUGAGUUCAGGAAUUUGAGAUUAGCCUGGCUAAAAUGGUGAAACUCCACCUCUACUAAAACUACAAAAAUUAGCCAGGUGUGGUGGUGUGUGCCUGUAAUCCCAGCUACUAGAGAAUCACUUGAACCUGAGAGGCGGAGGUUGCAGUGAGCUGAGAUUGCACCACUGCUCUCCAGCCUGGGUGACAGAGCAAAACUCUGUCUAAAACAAACAAACAAAAAAA
ensembl:lncRNA LINC02175 long intergenic non-protein coding RNA 2175